AAAAAAAAGAAUGGAAAAAGAGUAAAACGAAAGAAUAAAAUGAACGACAAACUAGAUAUACCGUACGCUACUAUAGUGGAAAAGUGAGUGUCAACUGUAUCAAACUGCAGUGGUAAUACGAGCUAGCGAGGCGGAUCAGAUCCAUUAUUUAGUGGGUACCUAAAGCAGCUAUGUAAACUCCCCAUCACGAAGCUCAUAGCCAACCGAGAAGGAUCCUGGAUCGGGAUCACCGCGUAAACCAUCCUAUCCCUGAUGUUCCCGAGGAUUAUACGGUCUGUAUAUACAGAACAAGACACGUCGAUCCGAAAGGACCCACGUUUGUGGAUCGAGGGUGAAUAAAGAAGCGAAGGUUCUGUACGAGG
rnacentral:misc_RNA from 1 species